rnacentral:rRNA from 1 species
AGAACGAACGCUGGCGGCAGGCCUAAUACAUGCAAGUCGAACGCACUCUUCGGAGUGAGUGGCAGACGGGUGAGUAACGCGUGGGAACCUUCCCAAUGGUACGGAAUAACUCCGGGAAACCGGUGCUAAUACCGUAUAAGCCCCUCGGGGGAAAGAUUUAUCGCCAUUGGAUGGGCCCGCGUCGGAUUAGCUAGUUGGUAAGGUAAUGGCUUACCAAGGCUAUGAUCCGUAGCUGGUCUGAGAGGAUGAUCAGCCACACUGGGACUGAGACACGGCCCAGACUCCUACGGGAGGCAGCAGCGGGGAAUAUUGCACAAUGGGCGAAAGCCUGAUGCAGCGACGCCGCGUGGGGGAUGAAGGCUCUCGGGUUGUAAACCCCUUUCAGGCAGGGACGAAACAGACGGUACCUGCAGAAGAAGCUCCGGCCAACUACGUGCCAGCAGCCGC